rnacentral:rRNA from 1 species
UACGAAGGGGGCUAGCGUUGUUCGGAAUUACUGGGCGUAAAGCGCACGUAGGCGGCGCAGCAAGUUAGAUGUGAAAUGCCUGGGCUUAACCUAGGAACUGCAUUUAAGACUGCUGUGCUAGAGACCGGGAGAGGGUGGCGGAAUUCCCAGUGUAGAGGCGAAAUUCGUAGAUAUUGGGAAGAACACCGGUUGCGAAGGCGGCCACCUGGACCGGCACUGACGCUGAGGUGCGAAAGCGUGGGGAGCAAACAGG